CCUGUCACUCAGCCUAGUUAUAGCCGACCUGCUGUCCACUGUUUCUUCCGAAUGCCUUGGCGUCACGGCUUUCCUCAUUGAUUAUCUGGAGGUGGCUUCCUGGCAUAUUGAAAUUUUUCAAAGAAUGAAACGGAUUGGUUUGGCAGACCUGAAGAGCCUGAAUUAAUUCACUGGUUAGAGCAUUUGAACACUGCCGAAGUAGGACAGCACAGCCAGCAACGUAAAGGAUGCAGUUCAACACUAUAUUCCCAUUGGAUCCUAUAUAGACCAUGCUGGCUGCUGCUGAGAACCUACUUGGUGUGUGUAUAAACCGCUUGACAUAAUGUUUAGGAAUCAGUGUUACAUGUUUCUGUUUGACAAAGAAUUCCCAUGAACAGACCUGGCAAUACAGGAGAGGAAUGCAGUAGCCCCAGCCAUAUUUUGACAGCAAGGCCAUUUCCCCUUCUGAAAACAUCAAGAAGAGACAUAAACACCUGAUCAUCUCUGAGCUGGGAACCUGCAAUAGCCACAAUGUGAAGAAACAAGAGAGAGCCUGAAGAUCAUUAAUGAAAGCAUGAUUUCUUUGAAAAUCUGGUUGUAAAAUGAGAUUAUUA